rnacentral:other from 1 species
GGUUAGUCUCAGUCUUGGACAGAAAUUCAAAAAGUUUUGUCCUACAGAAUUGAGUAUUCGGGGUUCCGACUCGAGAUGGCCACGUAUACCUAUGAACCUGCGGAUGCAAGUCCUUACAAACAGGAAGUAGGAAACGGUAAACCGUUUAGGAGGUUCCCCACCUGGAACAUUCCGGGUCAAAACUCAUUCUUGUUCGGGACUGGGACCAUCUA